GUAGACUGCAUAGUACAGAUACAGACUGAACCAGGUAUUUGGUAGACUACAUACUGUAGACUGGCCCAGGUACUAGGUAGACUACAUACUGUAGACUGGUCCAGGUAGUUGGUAGACUACAUAAUACGGAUACAGACUGGUCCAGGUAGUAGGUAGACUACAUAGUACAGAUACAGACUGAACCAGGUAUUUGGUAGACUACAUACUGUAGACUGGUCCAGGUAGUUGGUAGACUACAUAAUACAGAUACAGACUGGCCCAGGUAGUAGGUAGACUACAUAAUACGGAUACAGACUGGUCCAGGUAGUAGGUAGACUACAUAAUACGGAUACAGACUGGUCCAGGUAGUAGGUAGAUUCUGAGAAAAGCUACAGUACCAUUUGUUCUGCAUCGGGCCAUGAAUG
ensembl:lncRNA